rnacentral:tRNA from 1 species
GCAGUUAUGGCCGAGUGGUUAAGGCGCCGCGUUGAGGUCGCGGUCCGCAAGGGCGCAGGUUCGAGUCCUGCUAACUGCA